rnacentral:rRNA from 1 species
ACGUAGGAGACGAGCGUUAUCCGGAUUUACUGGGCGUAAAGCGCGUGCAGGCGGUUUUUUAAGUCACUUGUGAAAGCGCCCGGCUCAACUGGGCGAGGCCGUGUGAGACUGAAAAACUGGAGGCAGGCAGAGGCAGGUGGAAUUCCGGGUGGAGUGGUGAAAUGCGUAGAGAUCCGGAGGAACCCCAGUGGCGAAGGCGACCUGCUCGGCCUUGCCUGACGCUCAGACGCGAAAGCAUGGGGAGCGAACGG